ACGCUCGACACCUACGGAGGCAGCAGUCGGGAAUAUUGCGCAAUGGAGGAAACUCUGACGCAGUGACGCCGCGUGCAGGAAGAAGGUUUUCGGAUUGUAAACUGCUUUAGACAGGGAAGAAAGAAAUGACAGUACCUGUAGAAUAAGCUCCGGCUAACUACGUGCCANAGCCGCGGUAAUCUGAGCGGGCUGGCAAGGC
rnacentral:rRNA from 1 species